GGUAUGAAGGACUAUACUAUUAUUUUCUGAGUAUAUCAAGAGAGUUGUCUAUCUAUGUUAAUAUCAUUAGUUGACACCCACCUGUUGGACACACACACACACACACACACACACACACACAGUUUCUAGAAUAACGUUAUUAAUUCGAUAUUGUUUACUAAUAACAUUGAUGAGAAAAAAAUGAUUUCCACCCAGGGUUGUGAUUUGUAUGGAAUUUGCACCUUCUUUCCAGGUAAACUGGCAUAUCUAAAUGGUCCUAGUCUGACUGAGAGUGAGAGAGAGUGUGAGAGAGAGAAAGAGAGAGAGAUCUUGUGUGUGUGUGUGUGUGUGUGUGUGUGUGUGUGUGCGCGCCCUAUGAUGGAAUGGCAUCCUGUUCAGGGUUGAUUCCCACCUUGUGCUGAACUGCCUGGACAGGAUCAGGCCACCUGAGACCCUAAACUGCAAUAAACAGGUAAAUUAGUGUUUCUAUUAAUCAUUCUGAAACAUAUGUAUAGCUCAUAUUUAUUUUAUUAUUUAAUAUUAGAAGUGAUUUGAAUCUUUAUUUAAAAAUUUAGUGAUGUGCUUGUAGGAGAAAUAUGCCAUAGGAAUUUGUUUUCUUGUUUAGAUCAAUUAACCUUUGGUAAAUUGGUUUUCUUAUAUGUUGUUUCACUUAGGAUGGCGGUUUUCAAGAAUCUACCAACCAUGAUAAAUGAGUAUAAGUGCUGAGAUGCUCUCAAAAGAACUUCCAGGAAGAUGAGAAAUCUCAGACCCAGAGAUUGGAAAUUGUCAACAGCCACAGAAGUCACUAUUAGAACUGGCCUACCACUGAAUCUCAAGGAACAUAAAGAGGUCAUUGGAGAAAAAUAUCAUUUCUGUAGCUAUACAUGUUCAAACCAAGAAUAUGUCACAUGGCGUUUUACAUUCUUAUUUACUUAAGGGCAUGAAGGGAAAAUUCAGAAGUCAGGACAGGCUUGGACAAUACGGGCAGUACAGUAAACAUAUAUUGAAUGACUGUGUAUUGCUUUAAAUUAAAAGUUAUGGGAAUAACCUGCCACCUCUAUACAUCAAUCUUAAUUUCAUGUAGGGGACUACUAUUGAGAAAACCUGGUUUCAUUUGCUGCAUCAAAACAGCACAAAAAAUAAGGGUAUUUAUAAAUAUCCAUACACAUGAAUGUUAAUUGCAGCACUAUUCACAAAAGCAAGGAUAUGGAAUUAACUUAAAUGCUCAUCAAUGACAGAUUGGAUAAUGAAAAUGUGAUACAUAUAUAUCACGGAAUACUAUGCAGCCAUAAAAAAGGAUGAUAUCAUGUCGUUUGUUGGAACAUGGAUGAAGCAGAGGAUAUUAUUCUUAGCAAACUCAAGCAGGAACAUAAGAGCAAAUACUACAUGUUCUCACUUAAAAGUGGGAGCUAAAUGGUAAGAACUCAUGAAAACAAAGAGGGGAACAAAAGACACCAGGGCCUACUUGAGGGUGUUGGGUAGAAGGAACAAGAAGAGUAGAAAAAAGAUUGGGUACUAGGCUUAGUAACUGGAUGAUAAAAUAAUCUGUCCAACAAACCUCUGUGACAUGAGUUUACCUAUUUACCAAACCUGCACUUGUACCCCUGAAACUAAAGUAAAAGUUAAAGAGUACAGAAAGUUGCAAGAGGAUAUGGAACACCUUGAAGACAUCUAAGAAUUUAUUAUUAUUUUUUAAAAUUGUAAAGCAUA